rnacentral:rRNA from 1 species
AACGAACGCUGGCGGCAGGCCUAACACAUGCAAGUCGAGCGGACCUUUCGGGGUCAGCGGCGGACGGGUGAGUAACGCGUGGGAAUAUGCCCUUCUCUACGGAAUAGUCCUGGGAAACUGGGGGUAAUACCGUAUACGCCCUUUGGGGGAAAGAUUUAUCGGGGAAGGAUUAGCCCGCGUUGGAUUAGGUAGUUGGUGGGGUAAUGGCCUACCAAGCCGACGAUCCAUAGCUGGUUUGAGAGGAUGAUCAGCCACACUGGGACUGAGACACGGCCCAGACUCCUACGGGAGGCAGCAGUGGGGAAUCUUAGACAAUGGGGGCAACCCGGAUCUAGCCAUGCCGCGUGAGUGAUGAAGGCCUUAGGGUUGGAAAGCUCUUUCAGCUGGGAAGAUAAUGACGGUACCAGCAGAAGAAGCCCCGGCUAACUCCGUG